rnacentral:rRNA from 1 species
GACGAACGCUGGCGGCGUGCUUAACACAUGCAUUUCGAACGGAAAGGCCCUGCUUUUGUGGGGUGCUCGAGUGGCGAACGGGUGAGUAACACGUGAGUAACCUGCCCUUGACUUUGGGAUAACUUCAGGAAACUGGGGCUAAUACCGGAUAGGAGCUCCUGCUGCAUGGUGGGGGUUGGAAAGUUUCGGCGGUUGGGGAUGGACUCGCGGCUUAUCAGCUUGUUGGUGGGGUAGUGGCUUACCAAGGCUUUGACGGGUAGCCGGCCUGAGAGGGUGACCGGCCACAUUGGGACUGAGAUACGGCCCAGACUCCUACGGGAGGCAGCAGUGGGGAAUAUUGCACAAUGGGCGGAAGCCUGAUGCAGCAACGCCGCGUGCGGGAUGACGGCCUUCGGGUUGUAAACCGCUUUCGCCUGUGACGAAGCGUGAGUGACGGUAAUGGGUAAAGAAGCACCGGCUAACUACGUGCCAGCAGCCGCGGUGAUACGUAGGGUGCGAGCGUUGUCCGGAUUUAUUGGGCGUAAAGGGCUCGUAGGUGGUUGAUCGCGUCGGAAGUGUAAUCUUGGGGCUUAACCCUGAGCGUGCUUUCGAUACGGGUUGACUUGAGGAAGGUAGGGGAGAAUGGAAUUCCUGGUGGAGCGGUGGAAUGCGCAGAUAUCAGGAGGAACACCAGUGGCGAAGGCGGUUCUCUGGGCCUUUCCUGACGCUGAGGAGCGAAAGCGUGGGGAGCGAACAGGCUUAGAUACCCUGGUAGUCCACGCUGUAAACGGUGGGUACUAGGUGUGGGGUCCAUUCCACGGGUUCCGUGCCGUAGCUAACGCUUUAAGUACCCCGCCUGGGGAGUACGGCCGCAAGGCUAAAACUCAAAGGAAUUGACGGGGCCCCGCACAAGCGGCGGAGCAUGCGGAUUAAUUCGAUGCAACGCGUAGAACCUUACCUGGGUUUGACAUGGAUCGGGAGUGCUCAGAGAUGGGUGUGCCUCUUUUGGGGUCGGUUCACAGGUGGUGCAUGCCUGUCGUCAGCUCGUGUCGUGAGAUGUUGGGUUAAGUCCCGCAACGAGCGCAACCCUUGUUCACUGUUGCCAGCACGUUAUGGUGGGGACUCAGUGGAGACCGCCGGGGUCAACUCGGAGGAAGGUGGGGAUGACGUCGAGUCAUCAUGCCCCUUAUGUCCAGGGCUUCACGCAUGCUACAAUGGCUGGUACAGAGAGUGGCGAGCCUGUGAGGGUGAGCGAAUCUCGGAAAGCCGGUCUCAGUUCGGAUUGGGGUCUGCAACUCGACCUCAUGAAGUCGGAGUCGCUAGUAAUCGCAGAUCAGCAACGCUGCGGUGAAUAAAUUCCCGGGGCU